ACUACAUGGUGUGAGCACUUACGAAUGAAGUCCUUAAGUCUCUCCCAUGCUUUAUGAAACAAUUCUUCAAUAAUCUGGGAAAAACUAGUAAUAGCUUUUCUGAUUU